rnacentral:rRNA from 1 species
AAUGGGUCAGCGACUUAUAUUCUGUAGCAAGGUUAACCGAAUAGGGGAGCCGAAGGGAAACCGAGUCUUAACUGGGCGUUAAGUUGCAGGGUAUAGACCCGAAACCCGGUGAUCUAGCCAUGGGCAGGUUGAAGGUUGGGUAACACUAACUGGAGGACCGAACCGACUAAUGUUGAAAAAUUAGCGGAUGACUUGUGGCUGGGGGUGAAAGGCCAAUCAAACCGGGAGAUAGCUGGUUCUCCCCGAAAGCUAUUUAGGUAGCGCCUCGUGAAUUCAUCUCCGGGGGUAGAGCACUGUUUCGGCAAGGGGGUCAUCCCGACUUACCAACCCGAUGCAAACUGCGAAUACCGGAGAAUGUUAUCACGGGAGACACACGGCGGGUGCUAACGUCCGUCGUGAAGAGGGAAACAACCCAGACCGCCAGCUAAGGUCCCAAAGUCAUGGUUAAGUGGGAAACGAUGUGGGAAGGCCCAGACAGCCAGGAUGUUGGCUUAGAAGCAGCCAUCAUUUAAAGAAAGCGUAAUAGCUCACUGGUCGAGUCGGCCUGCGCGGAAGAUGUAACGGGGCUAAACCAUGCACCGAAGCUGCGGCAGCGACACUAUGUGUUGUUGGGUAGGGGAGCGUUCUGUAAGCCUGCGAAGGUGUGCUGUGAGG